CUUCUAUGGACUGGUGUAUUAACCACAACAGAAGCAUUGUGAUUUUGGUAGUCGGUAAGAAAUAAAUCUAAUAAUAAUAAGAUGGUCCAAGUCCGCUUGUUCACUGUAACAGUUAUUUAUUGUUAAACGAACCCAGUUGUAAUUUUACGUCUUUCCCACAGGUGGCCUCAUCACCAAAUAGAACUUGAGUUGCUGGGGGCAGACCGGGAAGUAGUGGACAGCACACGUCCCCUGGAGGACGGCUGGUAUGGAUAAGGCCUAAAAGAGUCAGAAGAAGAUUUGUAAGAAGAACACCCCUCCGAUUGCAGCAAUCCUCCCCUUCAGAACGUAGUUUUCACCUCCGAUUUUCGAGCACUGCAUUCCAACCAGAGUUCCCACAAGCCCAAAUGUCCCGAACACGAUGGCGGCGAUCAUCAAUGCUCGAGACGCUUGUAUGUACCCUGCGCACAAACACAAAGGUACAAUCCCGUGUUUAUUGAUACAGUAAUACACCACCGCAGCAAAAUCAAUUACAAUCCUUUCAGCAAGUGCCAAGAUCAACAAUUCAAUAAUUUCAGGACUUUUAUACAUUGCUGCUUGGUUGCACAGAAACUCCCGGAUUCCAUCAAAAUACCGUAUGAACCGUUGGGACUGUGACCCGUAUAGGCUUUAGGU